AUGCUCGGCGCAGCGCUACAAAAUAUCUCUCAUCUGUAUGCUUCAUUUGGAGACUAUUGGAGUAUGUCUUUCACCAAAUUAAAAAAGCAAGAAGCAGAAGACGUCAGAUGCAGGAAAUAGAAAAACCGCCACAGAAGCACUGAAAAGAACAGUCCACACUUAUUUGAAAGGUAGCCACCAGAAUGACAUUUGUCCAUGGGCCUCCAUGAAGGAAACCAGUUUCUGGUGAAGCAUAAAGAGAGAGGGGAAAGACAAUAUUCCCAAGAUCUUUGCUUUCUUCUUUGUCCUAUAACUACCCAUAGACGACUUCUGUUUUGUUGCUUAUCAUGACUGCCGACUUUUAAAACAGAACAGUUGAAGCACGAGUAGGUUCAGUUCCAAGUCCAAUUUUCUGCCAGCAUUCUGAAGUAAAUCUCUUUAGUCAAUGUCAGGCCAAGCUCUCUGAAGACAGAGGAAGUCAGCAGUUUUAUCCAGGGUGAGAAUUAAUUAAUCCAAAGCGCC
rnacentral:lncRNA from 1 species